rnacentral:tRNA from 1 species
AGGAGUAUAGUUAAAUAACUAACAUUUAGAUUGCACCUAAAAAAUAUUGUAAUAAAUUACUCUUU